rnacentral:tRNA from 1 species
GCUAACGUAGCUUAAUAAAAGCAUGACACUGAAGAUGUUAAGAUGGCCCUUAGAUUGGGCCCGGAGGCA